UACGUAGGGUGCAAGCGUUAAUCGGAAUUACUGGGCGUAAAGCGUGCGCAGGCGGUUCUAUAAGACAGAUGUGAAAUCCCCGGGCUCAACCUGGGAACUGCAUUUGUGACUGUAGAGCUGGAGUACGGUAGAGGGGGAUGGAAUUCCGCGUGUAGCAGUGAAAUGCGUAGAUAUGCGGAGGAACACCGAUGGUGAAGGCAGUCCCCUGGGCCUGCACUGACACUCAAGCACGAAAGCGUGGGGAGCAAACAGG
rnacentral:rRNA from 1 species